CUCCGUCAUGCUGACGUAUCUCAGAAGGGUGAUGUGUACAGCUAUGGCAUCAUUGCCCAGGAGAUCAUCCUACGCAAAGAGACUUUCUACACCAGACACUGCCAGGACACCAAAGAGAAACUUUACAGAGUGGAGAAUGACAAAGGAAUGAAGCCUUUCCGACCAGACCUAUCCUUAGAGACAGUGGGAGAAAGAGAGAUGGAAGUAUACACACUAGUGAAGAGCUGCUGGGAGGAAGACCCAGAGAAAAGACCUGACUUUAAGAAAAUU
rnacentral:lncRNA from 1 species